rnacentral:misc_RNA from 1 species
GGACGCAUCACUAUCUAUUCUUUUAGUACUUGUUUUGCACCUCUUGAAUCCUUCAAAAGCCCCCUUAAGAACCUUUGGGACUUCCAUCCAUCCCUUCAUAACUGUUCAUGUCUUUGGUAUCACGGAUAUGAAAACUAAACACCAACUUGUUAACUGAAACUAUCAAAAUGUGCGCCAUAUAUACAGCUUAAGAAACUUACGGAAGUAGAAAUAAGUUUAGUAAAUACAAAAAUCAAAUAAGAAUA